rnacentral:tRNA from 1 species
GCCCUGGUGGCGGAAUUGGUAGACGCGCUGGACUCAAAAUCCAGUGGUAGCAAUACCGUAUCGGUUCGAGUCCGAUCCGGGGCA